AAAGGUGGAAUAAGAGAAGGAGCCAAGGUGUAAUAUUUAGGAUCACCGGCCGUACUAAAGGAAGUGGCUCUAUGUAGGGAUGGAACAUAGCAACUGCACCAGCUGGGGGACACCUAGCCAACUGCUCAGACGUGUAGAUGGAAGCAACAGAAAGACUAAAAAUGGGAAACAGAG